rnacentral:lncRNA from 1 species
CUGUUCUAGAAUCCUAAGGGUCAGAAGUUCUGAGGCCCCCAGUACUGAUCAUCUCGGUGGGUAGCAGGCAGGGUGCCCACAGCAGAUCUGUGUGACCCUCAGCUGUGCCCAUGAUUCCGCAAACUCCUUGAAAGCCUGGAUGCAGAUUGUCUUAAGAAACUCGUUGGUGAACUUUGGGAAGCUCAGCAGGGACAGUGAGGAGCACAGAUGAGGAAACAGCUGCGAUGCUCACCUGCUGGUGAGGACUGGGCUCGGGGCCUCGGGUAGGUGCUGCCACCAUCCAUCAGGAGGAUCAACUGAGUCCAGUCAAGCACACUCUCAGAUACUCCUCCUGUCAAUCAGGACACCCUGUGCUCAUCACCCUCCACCCCAGCAAUAAAAAGCCAUAUCUGCACCUCCUGUGUGGUCUCUUGCAUUC